CCCCGGGCAGCCUCCCAGGGGCUUAGGAGGCCUCACCCAGCCUUGCGUUGGCCCAGGGGCUCCCAGAGAGGCCUGCUCCCCCUUUCCAGUUGGGGUUCCGAGGAUCCGGGCGUGUUGGGGGUCCCCAGGAGGUGGCAGUGGUUGGAUUUAGGGCAGAGGGCCUGGGCUCCAUCGCGCUCUGAGGUGCCUCUUCCCACGAGGAGGCCGCCCGGCUGUCCCCAGAGUCGGGGCUGAGGGUCCCAGGGGAUCCGGUGCUCAGGAUGGGGGUGCGAAAAGGCACCGAGUCAACGUGGGGGUCCUGACGCCUCGUUGCUGGAUGGAGGGCACAGGGCGCCAGCCCAAAGGAACAUCUUGAACGUGGUCAUCAGCGUUUUCAUUGUUUUUUUCCCUUAUUAUAAAAACAGCACCUGGCCGUUGUUAGAAAAGUAAGAAAAUAAACGAAGACGACGCAGCAGCGCGUGUCUGGCUGUGACUUCAGUCCAGCGCGGCUACCGAGCGUCGGAUGGGUGCAUCGCAUCACAUAUGCUGCACCAGCAGAAAAGAGGUGAGAGAGCGACGGCAGCAACAAGGCUGAGAGUGGAGGAGGCUCAGCUGGAGCACAGCAGCAGAACGCUGGUCCCUGGAGCCCCACGGGACUGGACACGGUUCUGUUCCCUCUGUGCAGGUCCGGAGGUUUUCAUAAGGAAGAGCCUUUUUUUUUGAAGUAAGGACUUUAGAGUCAGCUAACCAUGAGUUCGAAUCCCAGACCCAAGCCCUGCUGUGUGACCUUGGGCAAGUCGCUUGACCUCUCUGGGCAUCAGUCUCCUUCCCUGUAAAAUGGGAUCAUGACAAUAUCUCCUUGCUUCCUUGUUAGGAGAGUUAAGUCCGUGGCGUGAGGCAAAGGGACAGGGCAGGGGCAGACCCUUGCUGCAGCUCCUUGCACAUAGGCCCAGGGUGCUGACCGCUCCCAGGUGGCUGUCACGGGGACCCCGCCAUCUUGUGCUGGUUGCCUGCCCCUUCCCCACACUUCUCUGUGCCCUGUGUUCCCUGCAGGCCCUGAGCGAUGCAUACACCUAGCUCAGCUCUUCCUACCCGGGGCACACCACCUCCCUGACACCCCACCUGGUGGCUCGGACCCGUCCCCCGGGGCUCACUGGUCAUUACGAGGCUCUGCCCUGCAGGAUGGCAGGCAGGGUGGGUUAGGCGGCUCCUGUGCCCCUGCUGGGGGUGGGGGCUGCAGUGGGUUGAAUAGUGUCCCCCCGAAUGCACGUCCACGCAGCGCCCCAGAAAGCGACCUUAUUGGGAAGCAGGGUCUGUGUGGAGACAGUCAGCUGAGCGAGUCAGGCUGGAGCGGGGGGGCCGGUGUCCUCAGAAGAAGAGAAGCAGAGACACAGGGAGGACGGCCGUGUGACCGCAGGGGCAGGACUGGGGCGCCGAGGCCACGCACACGGGAGCUGGGGGAGGCGGGAAGGCUCCCCCCGCCCUAGAGGGAGCGGCCGCUGCGCCUGGAGCUGGGACUCCGGCCUCCAGGACGGGGCAAGAGGGAGCCUCUGCGGUUUUAACCCCCAGGCCGUGGGCAUUUCGCUCAGGCGGCCCCAGGACCCUCAUCCCGGUCCAGAGAGAACUGCCGGCAGCCCUGCCACGUCCUCCCGCCUGUUCCCCUCCCGGCAGGGGCUGGUGGGCCACAUGGCUACCCGGGGUCCCCUGACUUCACCCCCGAGUCCUCCUGCAACGCCACAGCUCCCGCGCCGCCUCUUCCCUGCACCCUUGGACCACAAAUACCCGCUGCCCGCUCUCCGGCUCCGCUCAGGGGCAGCGGACCUCCCAACCGGAGGACCAGCUCCCGGGGAGGAGGAUGGGCCGUGCACCCCGGCCGUCCGUCGGUCAGUUGAUUAUUUCCCUCCCCCCAGGCCUGCUGAGGGUCUCCUCUGCCUAGAAGUGGCCUGGAUGGAGGAGGCGCCCUCUUGCUGAGGGGUUCCAGCUCCGUCCUGGCUCCUCCUGGGGUCCUCGGCCGAGCAAGCAGCUCCACUGCGUCUCCUUGGCCCUCCUGCCCUCCCGUCCAGCCUCCCCUCAGGAGGAAUUCUCCCCCAGUGACGGCCAUUUCCUCCUCUCUGCUCCCUUUUUACAACUUCGCAAACUAGCGGCCUGUCCCCCUCUGUUCCCUCCACUCCCACCGCCCUUCCAGCCACUGCCUCAGGCGUCCACCCCACGGCCACCUCCAACCAGUCCUGCCCCCAGCGUCUAGGACAAUUGGAGCUUCCAGAAUCCCCCGCCCCCCGGGGGUCUUGAUGCCGCCCCCUCCUGGCUUCCCUGGCUUCCCUCCUCCUGGCUCCCCCUGGUGAGCCCACCACGGCGGGGGGGAGGGCCUGACCACUCGCAGGUCACACCUCCGCGGCCGCUCUGCGAAUGUCCGCUGCCCACUGCACAGCCUCCCCCAGACCGCGCUCGCGCUCUGGAAACUCAAAACGGAACCCAGGAAUUCCGAGGGCCCCCCAAGCUGCUCCGCUCACCUCCCUGUUUACGUCUCUGCUUGACACCGGGCCUGCCUCGCCCUGCCCGUUUGGAGGAAGCUCCAUCAUGGUCCUGAGGCCUGAUUGCGUCCUAGCCGGUGACGUCGCUCCCUCGCCCUCGCUCCAACUUCAUCCACACUCGGGCAGCAGCAUUUGGAAAUCAGCAGGACAACAUAGUUGGAGACAUGAAAUUUCGCUUAAAAAGGUGAAGGCCUCAACCAAAGUGAAGUUUCCAGAGAAGGAGAAAUUCUGCCUCAAGACAGCUCCUGCCUGAAUUUCCUGCCCGCUCUACGGAUUUCGGCCUCGCCAGACCCCAGGGUCAAGUCAGCCAAUGGCUUCAAAUAAAUCUCGUGUAUCCGA